UGGGGAAUAUUGCACAAUGGGCGCAAGCCUGAUGCAGCCAUGCCGCGUGUAUGAAGAAGGCCUUCGGGUUGUAAAGUACUUUCAGCGGGGAGGAAGGCGAUAAGGUUAAUAACCUUGUCGAUUGACGUUACCCGCAGAAGACGCACCGGCUAACUCCGUGCCAGCAGCCGCGGUAAUACGGAGGGUGCCAGCGUUAAUCGGAAUUACUGGGCGUAAAGCGCACGCAGGCGGUCUGUCAAGUCGGAUGUGAAAUCCCCGGGCUCAACCUGGGAACUGCAUUCGAAACUGGCAGGCUAGAGUCUUGUAGAGGGGGGUAGAAUUCCAGGUGUAGCGGUGAAAUGCGUAGAGAUCUGGAGGAAUACCGGUGGCGAAGGCGGCCCCCUGGACAAAGACUGACGCUCAGGUGCGAAAGCGUGGGGAGCAAACA
rnacentral:rRNA from 1 species